GACAAUCGCCUACCUAUAUUUCUGCUUGCAGAACCUAUUUUAAGCGAUUAGAAAUACCUAUCUUUACCAGUUGCACUCCUAUUACUCUAAAUAAUCUUUGUUAGGCACCGCUAGCAUUGCAUUUGUAAUAGCCUACUUCACUGUGCAGCUAACUUCAUUAAAACAUUAACCUGUUUAAAAUAUUUUUGUCAAUUUUCCAAUACCUAAUUGCACCCACGUGGUCACGCCUGUUCAUAACCUAACAGUUUCCAGCCAAUCAUUUCAUUUCCUAAAUUUUAAAAUUAAAGUUUGCAAUUCUUGCCCACUCGCUUAUCGCAUCGAAUCAGCUGUUUAGCCCUUCAUUUUUUGCUAUUCCAGUGACCUACAUUCGGUGCAGUAUCCACAACGCCCAGGAGUGCUGCGCGAGCGCACUAGUUCCUCCGCGCGUGCCCGAGAGUUCAUUAUCGUCUGGCAGAACGUACGGCGCAUCGUGGGACCAUUGAGCGAGGAGCGUAUCGCCCCUCACGUCGUUGCCGUCUCCGAGCAUCCUGGGUGUCAUCUCCACUUCCCGUCGUCUAAACCUAGAUGACUUCGUCUGUCUUCGUCACCAUAAUGAGCUUGAAAGCUGUACGAGCUUUCAACGGCCGGGAGGAUGUUCACGCCGCUUCGCUACGUUUACCAUUAAUUAUAUGUUUAUUCUGAGUUCAAUCUUGUUUCCACUACACAGAGCAUAUAUUUGCAUUGUAUCGAGCCGCACCCAAUCAUAACACCUGAAUAUCGCGUGAUAUGUAUAAUUAGCCAAUCACAGCUCCGCAUCCUCACGACACAUAUGCCGGAGCCUUCAGCUCCCUACACUUGCUUUCCUAUCGCCACACAAACCACACUAUUCAAAAAUAUCUAAAAAACUGUAAUUAAACAGUAUUUAUUAUAUUUGA